GGCGGCUUUGCACAGAGGCAGUGCGUCUGUCUCGUAAACAGAAGGUCGUGAGUUCGAUUCUCACAGUCGCCA